rnacentral:rRNA from 1 species
UACGAACUGCGCGAACGUUAUUCGGAAUCACUGGGCUUACAGGGUGCGUAGGCGGCCUCACAGGUCCGAUGUGAAAUCCCCCAGCUCAACUGGGGAAUGGCAUUGGAAACCGUGGGGCUGGAGUGAGCUAGAGGUGCACGGAACUUCCGGUGGAGCGGUGAAAUGUGUUGAGAUCGGAAGGAACACCAGAGGCGAAGGCGGUGCACUGGGGCUUGUCUGACGCUGAGGCACGAAAGCCAGGGGAGCGAACGGG